GCAUAAGUAACAGGUCGUAGACCCGAAACCAGGUGAUCUACCCAUGUCCAGGAUGAAGGUAAGGUAAUACUUACUGGAGGUCCGAACCCACGCACGUUGAAAAGUGCGGGGAUGAGGUGUGGGUAGCGGAGAAAUUCCAAUCGAACUUGGAGAUAGCUGGUUCUCUCCGAAAUAGCUUUAGGGCUAGCCUCGAGGUAAAGAGUCAUGGAGGUAGAGCACUGUUUGGACUAGGGGCCCUUCUCGGGUUACCGAAUUCAGAUAAACUCCGAAUGCCAUGUACUUAUACUCGGGAGUCAGACUGCGAGUGAUAAGAUCCGUAGUCGAAAGGGAAACAGCCCAGACCACCAGUUAAGGUCCCCAAAUAUAUGUUAAGUGGAAAAGGAUGUGGGGUUGCUUAGACAACCAGGAUGUUGGCUUAGAAGCAGCCACCAUUGAAAGAGUGCGUAAUAGCUCACUGGUCGAGUGACCCCGCGCCGAAAAUGUACCGGGGCUAAACAUAUUA
rnacentral:rRNA from 1 species